rnacentral:tRNA from 1 species
UAGGCUGUAGCUUAAAUAAAAGCAGUCCACUUACAAUGGGAGGAUCACUAGUUAGUGUAGGCUAA